rnacentral:tRNA from 1 species
GAAGGGUGAACGAUUGGUGUUUGCAUAGCGCUGGCUUUGCAAGCCAGAGGUCACCGGUUUGAGCCCGGUAUUCU